rnacentral:rRNA from 1 species
CUCCAGACUCCUACGGGAGGCAGCAGUGGGGAAUAUUGCACAAUGGGGGAAACCCUGAUGCAGCGACGCCGCGUGAGCGAUGAAGUAUUUCGGUAUGUAAAGCUCUAUCAGCAGGGAAGAAAAUGACGGUACCUGACUAAGAAGCCCCGGCUAACUACGUGCCAGCAGCCGCGGUAAUACGUAGGGGGCAAGCGUUAUCCGGAUUUACUGGGUGUAAAGGGAGCGUAGACGGCAUGGCAAGUCUGAUGUGAAAACCCGGGGCUCAACCCCGGGACUGCAUUGGAAACUGUCAGGCUAGAGUGUCGGAGAGGCAAGUGGAAUUCCUAGUGUAGCGGUGAAAUGCGUAGAUAUUAGGAGGAACACCAGUGGCGAAGGCGGCCUGCUGGGCUUUUACUGACGCUGAGGCUCGAAAGUGUGGGGAGCAAACAGGAUUAGAUACCCUUGUA